GACGAACGCUGGCGGCGUGCUUAACACAUGCAAGUCGAACGGUAAGGCCCUUCGGGUACACGAGUGGCGAACGGGUGAGUAACACGUGGGUGAUCUGCCCUGCACUUUGGGAUAAGCCUGGGAAACUGGGUCUAAUACCGAAUAUGACCAUGGACUUCACGGUUUGUGGUGGAAAGCUUUUGCGGUGUGGGAUGGGCCCGCGGCCUAUCAGCUUGUUGGUGGGGUAAUGGCCUACCAAGGCGACGACGGGUAGCCGGCCUGAGAGGGUGACCGGCCACACUGGGACUGAGAUACGGCCCAGACUCCUACGGGAGGCAGCAGUGGGGAAUAUUGCACAAUGGGCGCAAGCCUGAUGCAGCGACGCCGCGUGGGGGAUGACGGCCUGGUUGUAACGUACUUUCUACCAGGACGAAGCGAGAGU
rnacentral:rRNA from 1 species